rnacentral:tRNA from 1 species
GGGUGAAUAGCUCAGUGGUAAAGCACAUGCAUGAGGUCCUGGGUUCAAUCCCCAGUACCUCUA